GCGGAGAUCGCCUAGCCUGGCAGGGCGUGGGAUUGCUAAUCCCAUGACUUUCGGGUCUCGGGGGUUCAAAUCCCCCUCUCCGCGCCA
rnacentral:tRNA from 1 species